rnacentral:tRNA from 2 species
CAGAAAAUAGUUUAAUGGAAAAAUACCAGCUUUGGGAGUUGGUGAUAGAGGUUUAGUCCUCUUUUUCUGA